UACAGAGGGUGCAAGCGUUGUUCGGAAUUAUUGGGCGUAAAGCGCGUGUAGGCGGCUUUGCAAGUCGGGUGUGAAAACCCUCAGCUCAACUGAGGAAGUGCGCCUGAAACUGCAGAGCUUGAGUGCCGGAGAGGGUGGCGGAAUUCCCCAAGUAGAGGUGAAAUGCGUUGAUAUCAGGAGGAACACCCAUGGCGAAGGCAGCAAACUGGGCAUCAUCUGACGCUGAGGCGCGAAAGCGUGGGUAGCAAACAGG
rnacentral:rRNA from 1 species